UUAAAUAAAGCUUAAAGCUUCUUGCUGUUACCAAGAAAAAAGUUAAUACUUAUUUAAA
rnacentral:tRNA from 1 species